rnacentral:rRNA from 1 species
GAAUUUUAUAUAUCGAAUAAAUAAAGUUUAUUUUGGUAUAUUUUAUUGGGAGGAUAUUUAAAUUAAUAAAACUUUAAUAAUAGGUUUUUACAUAAAUUAAUGAUUAAAAUAAUGAAUGAAUGUAAUUUAUAUAAAGAAUUAAUUACCUUAGGGAUAACAGCAUGAUAUUUUUUUGUAGUUCAUAUAUAAAAAAAUGUUUAU